rnacentral:rRNA from 1 species
CGACCGGCGCACGGGUGAGUAACACGUAUGCAACCUGGCCGUCACAGGUGGAUAACCGGAAGAAAUUCCGACUAAUACAGCAUAACACUCCUGAGGGACAUCCUUCGGGAGUCAAAGGAGGCAACUCCGGUGACGGAUGGGCAUGCGGCGCAUUAGGUAGUUGGUAGGGUAACGGCCUACCAAGCCGACGAUGCGUAGGGGUUCUGAGAGGAAGGCCCCCCACACUGGUACUGAGACACGGACCAGACUCCUACGGAAGGCAGCAG